rnacentral:lncRNA from 1 species
CCUGCUUUGGUGCAUCUGCUUGACUGAGUCCAGGUCACAUGAUCCAGCUGCAAGGGCACAUCGGAAAUACAGUUUCUGGAAUGGAGAGAGGCAGCCUGAAAUCCCUCCCGUUGUUGUCACCAGUGACUUCGGCACCCCCAGGAGAAGAGUGUUUUCCCCAGAAGUUCUUAUGGGAAAAAAGUCUGAGUUUGUCCCCAGAGGAAGGGAAGAAGACUCUAAGAAGAAGGGCCCGCCCGGGACAGGUAAGUGUUUGAUGGAGCAAUCGGGUGAAAAUCUAGAACCAAGCGUGCUGCAGGGGAGAG